GAAAGGUUGUCAAAGGCUGCCCUAUGGUUUCCUUAUUGGACAAGGCGAUUGUGGCUUCGCUGGUCAGACUACACCUUUCCUCUUCCUGAGUUCCUCAUGUUCAUCUCUGUUUCUAUACCUCUCUAUCUUCCUUCUACUGUAAUUUUGGCGUGCGGACUGGUGAUGUCAAUUGAAGGUCGCCCUUGAUCUCCAAUUCCCAAUAUGCACAUAUAACACAUCCACAGCAUUUACUUAGUUGUAAAAUCUCGUCUUGCUUACUGCUUACGGAUGAAGAUGAUUGAAUUUCCAAACAAAAGAAUUUGUUUGAUGCUUUAUUUUUAUAUUGAUCCUUUAUUUUACUCUGUUAUAUGAAUUUGGAGCUUGAGAUUUUUGGGGGUUUAUGUGCUUUCGGAGCGUUAGAACUGGGGUUUCUGGGAGUUGGGUUUCUGUCUGGACGAGUUUUGGUUUCACAGUCUGGAGAGAGCGUGGAAAUAUAAAACGUUUUGAAAGAGAGGCAGCUAGGUUGGAUUUGAAUUGGUUCUGGAAUCCUGGAAGCCGCAUUUUGUUUUCUAGUUGUGGCGAACCACUUAGCCCUCUGCAUCUUCUCGCUUCCUUUCACUUCGCCGGAAAAUGCAGCGAUCUUCACCUUCAUUGGACAAGGUAAGCUCCUCUUCUCUUUGGCUGGGUAAGAUUUUGGAGACUUUAGGGUUUUAAUUUUAUAAAAAUAAGAAGGGGUGUAAUAGUAGUUUUAAGUUGGGUUUAUAUGAACAGGGGCAAUUAGGUA